rnacentral:lncRNA from 1 species
GCUUUUUAGACAACACUUGAGGGACGUGUCCUCAAGCGUUUCUAUAAUAUAUAGCAAAUAUUGACGCUUAAAAAAAUAUCGUCAUAUAAACCCUCUAUUUUACCAAACUAUUUUAUUGAACGAUAAAUUUUACAAUUUCUUUUAAUUUUUUGUUACUUUGCAGCGUCAGAAUUUUAAAAAUAUUCUGAAAAAUUCUGACGCUUUAUUAAAACGUCAGAAUAUAUUUUAUCGACGCUCUACAUAAGCGUCGGUAUAUACACGACGACUCUUUAGUUGCCUACUAUAUUGUGACGCUUUUAAGAUAGUUAAAUAUAAACAAAAAAAUCCU